rnacentral:rRNA from 1 species
GGUGAACGCUAGCGGCAGGCCUAACACAUGCAAGUCGAGGGGUAACUAGAGUGAUAGCAAUAUUACUUUGGCUUGACCGGCGCACGGGUGCGUAACACGUAUGCAACCUACCUUAUACUGGGGAAUAACUUCGAGAAAUCGGCGCUAAUACCCCAUAACAUUGCGAAGAGGCAUCUCUUUGCAAUUAAAGCUCCGGCGGUAUAAGAUGGGCAUGCGUCCAAUUAGCUAGUUGGUGAGGUAACGGCUCACCAAGGCUACGAUUGGUAGGGGUUCUGAGAGGAUGAUCCCCCACACUGGUACUGAGACACGGACCAGACUCCUACGGGAGGCAGCAGUGAGGAAUAUUGCGCAAUGGACGAAAGUCUGACGCAGCCAUGCCGCGUGCAGGAUGACGGCCCUAUGGGUUGUAAACUGCUUUUGUACGGGAAUAAACCCUUCUACGUGUAGGAGGCUGAAGGUACCGUAAGAAUAAGCACCGGCUAACUCCGUGCCAGCAGCCGCCGUAAUAC